CCCGGCAGACCUGGAAUCAAGCAGACCUGGAAUCAAGCUGGCUCUGCACCUACUGCUGCGUGAUCUUGGGCUAGUCAUCCAGCCUUUCUGGUCUCACGUUCCUGUCUGUGCAAUGGGUGCUCGUGCCUGCUCCGGAGAGGUGCUGAAAUGGCCCUCUGUCGGGAGCCAGGGACCCCAGAGAGGAAUGAGAUGUAGCUGCUGUCCCAUGUAAAGGACUGUCGGGGAAGACGGAAUUCAUGUUCUCUCGAGAUCCUGAAGGAGAGGGAGAGGUGGUUUGGCAGAAGAGAACCACUAAAGCUUCACGAAGAGGCAGCACUGUGCUGACCUGGAAUGUGGUGGCAUUCACAGCCCCUCCCGGGACCCAGCUCCCCGCGGUGAUGUGCACGCAGAACUGUUGGCGCUCACUUCAGAGGAAAGCUGUGUCUCGAAUUCCUGUUGUCCUGUCCUCCGUUUUAACUGUGGAUCUGAAAUAAACAUUGGUAGCAUAGUUCUGUGUGACAGUUUGGAGUUUUUAUUUGUUUAAAAUUUUUCAACUGGGAAAAUAUUUGAAUGUGGCUAGACUCAAUCCCAAAGAAACAGACAUGGACAGUAUUGCAAUUUCUGGAAUUUAUUGUGGAAUGGACUUUUUCUGAAUUUCUGCCAAACUUAUCCUUAUGUUUAAGGCUUUCUCUAUUGUUUGUGAAUCUAUUGCUUCAUGUGAGAAAAAAAAUUUCAAAUAAAAAAUAUUCUUUGGCCAACUACAAUUGAAGAUAAAUUGACAAA